CACCUACUCCCUUCGUUCGAAAUUACUUAUCGCCAAAAUGGAUGUAUCUAGACAUCUAGAUACAUCCAUUUUGGCGACAAAUAAUUCCGAACGGAGGGAGUAAAAG
rfam:Triticum aestivum genome assembly, contig: Triticum_aestivum_CS42_TGACv1_scaffold_031708_1BL